rnacentral:rRNA from 1 species
UACGUAGGGUGCGAGCGUUAAUCGGAAUUACUGGGCGUAAAGCGUGCGCAGGCGGUGAUGUAAGACCGAUGUGAAAUCCCCGGGCUUAACCUGGGAACUGCAUUGGUGACUGCAUUGCUGGAGUAUGGCAGAGGGGGGUGGAAUUCCACGUGUAGCAGUGAAAUGCGUAGAGAUGUGGAGGAACACCGAUGGCGAAGGCAGCCCCCUGGGCCAAUACUGACGCUCAUGCACGAAAGCGUG